rnacentral:rRNA from 1 species
UACGUAGGGUGCAAGCGUUAAUCGGAAUUACUGGGCGUAAAGCGUGCGCAGGCGGCUUUGCAAGACAGAUGUGAAAUCCCCGGGCUUAACCUGGGAACUGCAUUUGUGACUGCAUGGCUAGAGUGCGGCAGAGGGGGAUGGAAUUCCGCGUGUAGCAGUGAAAUGCGUAGAGAUGCGGAGGAACACCGAUGGCGAAGGCAGCCCCCUGGGCUAACACUGACGCUCAGGCACGAAAGCGUGGGGAGCAAACAGG